UCCUCUCGAAUGUUCACUCU
rnacentral:piRNA from 1 species